GCUCUGGACCGCGUCGGGAGCUGUGUUCCCGCUGCCCGGUUCUCAGGCACAGACUCCGGGCCUGGCCCUAGGCCCUUCGAGAUCAUGCUGUGCGGUGGCUGGAGAAGGAGCCGCCGCUCGCCGGAGGAACCCCGGGUGUCCGCCCAGGUCGCAGCGCCCCUCGCGUUCUUGCCCUCGCCCGCGUCAUCCGAUAGCAGCACCAAAAGGCCCGGGCUACGGGCACUGAAGAAGAUGGUAACAACAAAGUCCUGGCAUGACCAGGGCGAUGGUGUGAAACAGUCCAGGUUCCUACUUCAGAAGUGAGGGAAGUCACUAGUCCUCAAGGAGCCCUAGAGUCAGCCCAAUACUGCUGUGGUUCGCAGGUGUGGUGCUAAGAUCACCUUCCUGAGGCCUGACGGAGGAUGAGGAUGUCCAAGCCAUGCUGCGGGGCUCCAAGCUCCUCAAGAUCCGCUCACGCACGUGGCACAAGGAGCGGCUGUACCGGCUGCAGGAGGAUGGCCUG
rnacentral:lncRNA from 1 species